rnacentral:rRNA from 1 species
CACGUAGGGUGCGAGCGUUGUCCGGAAUUAUUGGGCGUAAAGAGCUCGUAGGCGGUCUGUCGCGUCGGUCGUGAAAACUUGGGGCUUAACCCUGAGCUUGCGGUCGAUACGGGCAUGACUGGAGUUCGGCAGGGGAGACUGGAAUUCCUGGUGUAGCGGUGAAAUGCGCAGAUAUCAGGAGGAACACCGGUGGCGAAGGCGGGUCUCUGGGCCGAUACUGACGCUGAGGUGCGAAAGCGUGGGGAGCAAACAGG